UAGGGAAUUUUCGUCAAUGGGCGCAAGCCUGAACGAGCAAUGCCGCGUGAACGAGGAAGGUCUUCGGAUCGUAAAGUUCUGUUGAAGGGGAAAAAGAGACGGAGAGAGGAAAUGCUUUCUGAUUGAUAUUACCCUUCGAGGAAGUCACGGCUAACUACGUGCC
rnacentral:rRNA from 1 species